UCUUCCUGCUUUCCUGACCCUCUCCGCCAUUUAAAGAAACAGUACCGGGGGCGGGCCGAGCGACGCAGCCGGGACGGUAGCUGCGGUGCGGACCGGAGGAGCCAUCUUGUCUCGUCGCCGGGGAGUCAGGCCCCUAACUCGAAGAAGCCCUGGCGCGCCCUCCCCCCCUCCCGGGUCUGGUAGGGCGAAGGAACGGGCGUGCGGUCGAUCGAGCGAUCGGUUGGCGGCUCUUUCUCCUGCUCUGGCAUCCAGCUCUUGGGGCGCAGGCCCGGCCGCCGCGGCGCGCGCCCGGUGGCCGUUGGCGCUCGCGCCGCGUCUUUCUUCUCGUACGCAGAACUCGGGCGGCGGCCUAUGCGUUUGCGAUUCGACGAGGAGUCGUCCGGGUGGUCGGCGGCGGCGGGCAGCUGCUCCGCCCCGCUCCGGGGGAGGCGGCGGCGGCAGCGGCCGCGGGAUUUGGAGCGGCCGGGGAGGCGGGGGUGGCCGGGGCCGGCUUGGAGGCCUGGCGCCACCCUUCGGGGCCUGCAAGGACCCAGUUGGGGGGGCAGGAGGGGGCUGGAGGAUGGUUGGUUGUGGGAUUUCUACUUUGCCUUUUCCUCCUUAUGCCGCCUUAGUGAGGGGCGGGAGCUCUGGCGGCAGCCCCGGGGUGGGGAGACGAGCUCCGGAGUCGGAAGAGCUGGGUUUGCUUCCGGGCCUAGCCACCAGCUGGCGGAGUGACCUUAGGCGAGUCACUCUGUAAUUUUUCUGCGCCUCAGUUUCCUCCUCUGCCUAUCAAUGUGUGUGGGGUUGAAAGCGCUUUGUAAACUCUAAAGCGUGGGUGUACGUAAAGGAUGGUUAUUGUUUGUAAUUUUUUUUUUUUGAGUUGUAAGAAAACUUAGCAGUUCCCCAAUCCUUGGGUUUUGAACCUGGGAACCUUGGAUUGGAGUUGGGGAUCCGCAAACUCCCUGAAAUUGUGGGAAUGUGUGGUUUGGGGGAAUGAUGGGAAUUUGUGGGAAUGUGCGUUAUAGGGGAAUGAUGAUCCAUCGCUAGCAAGUUUUCGAAGGGGGCUGUGACCCAGAAGAGUUAAGAAUCACAAUUUCUUCAUGCUACAGAGAGGAAACUGAGGCAUAGAUGUCAUUUGGGACCCUUCACAACCAAUUUGAAGCCCCUGUUUGAGUCCCUGGGAUAUGUGAGCUGUUUCUAUGCAUAAUGGAUAUUCGGGGUAACAACAGUCCCCUGCUUGGCUUCUAUUCUGAAUCCUUUUCUUUCACCAUGGGGUGCCUGAAGGGUGGCUGAUGCAUAUGGUACAAUGGCACCCAGUGUAAAGCAGCUGCAAUUAGGAGUGGAUGUGUUCUGUAGCAUCCUAUUUAAAUAAGCCUAUUUAAUCUUUGGCCCGGCAACUUUUUUCUGCUGCUUGUACCGGUGCCUGACUACCUUUCUGACUCUCAUUGACCAUAUUCCACGACCAUGGUUGUCAUCCAUUACUUGAUCCUACUUUACGUGUCUAGUCUGUGUGGUUUGUGGUGAAUAGGCUUCUUUUCACAUGGUGCUGCCAAGCCCAGCUAAUUAAUGGUGCACGUGGACUUUUAGCAAGUGGGCUCACUGGAAGAGACUGUACCUGGCAUGGAAUUCCUGAAGAUGUUUGGGGUUUUUUUCUUUCUUAAUCGAAGGUUAAUAUUCUCUGAAAAGUUUUGUUAGAACUACUGCGGAACCUCAAAAUCAGUAGAUUUGGAAGGGAUUCAAAGCUUUUUAACCUUGGCCCUCCUUGUGUUCUAAUUGCUUGCAAAUGUAAUACUAAGAUGUCCAAGAUGCUAGUUUUUGCUUCUUUGUUAAUUGUCAGCUGCUUUUAUCAAAUUUCAGGCCAUUAUCCAACAAACACUAUAAAAAUGUUUGAACAAUUGGAUUUCAAACAUUUUCGUUUUGUGGAGUGGUGCUCACCAAGUGGUACAGCCCUAAGCAAGUGAACACAAACACGUUUAAGUGUAUUUUGGCUGAUUAGAUGUUAGCCAGUUAUGCUAUUUCAUUCAAAUGUCUGAAAAAACCAGUUGACUAUUCCCUUUUCCUAAAGGGCAGAGACAAAUAAUCUCACUUCCAGAGAAAUGACUGUUUUGGAGGAAAAAAGUGUUGGUCUUUUUGCUCUUUUGUAAUUAAAUCUGGAUGUACCUCAAAAGACUCUUAAGACUGUGGUGACAAGAUGCUUUCCUCAGCAGAAAGGAGGAAAAAAAAGCAACUGGAACUCAAAGCUUGAAAUUCUGUGGCAAAACAUGAGAUGUCCAGGAUUGGAGGUUGAAAAGAUUUCACUACAGUGUUCUACAAUAGUUGGAGCAGAUAACUUUCAGUGUAGCCACAGCCAUGGACUCCAGAUUUCCAGAUUUUCAAGAACUGGACUUGGAACCCGAAAGAGCUUAUCAGGAUGUGGCAGGAACACUGGAGGUAGAUAUUUGUUUUAUUUUUGAAUUUUGGGACUGUUGACCUUGCUGUGAGAAAAGAGACAACGACUGAGCAAGCACUACCACCAGCACUGUUACUGGGAAUUAGAAGACCUGAGUUUCUGUCCAGACCCUCAGUGCAAACUGAGGACACUCCAUCCAAAGUGAAUUAUGUCCUGUGCCUCCUGAUUGCUGAGUGUUCACCUGGACCUUCUGACUACCUUCCCUGUGCUAUUCCAUCAGCCUACAGACCUGGUACCUGGAUUUUUGCCCGAGAUGAUUCCUACCACCUUACUACUGAAGAAGACACCCAUUCCAGUGGACCACUGUGACCCAGGAGGCAUUCAGCCAUCAUGAUGUGGCCUUUACCUCCACUCCUGUCCUGUUCUACCCAGAUUCAGCACAGUCCUUUAUAGUGAAGUCAGAGUCCUCAAGCCAAAUAGCUAAAGCUGUUUUAUCACAACAAAGGCCUAGUUUGUUCCAUGAGUGUGCAUUUCAUUUCUUCAGUUAAAGCCUUCAGAGACACAUAAUAAAUUUGGACCAGGGGAUUUUUUAGUUAUUAAUGCUCUCUGAAGAAAGGGAACAUCUUUUUGAGAGCAGCAUUGGACCCCCACAAUCUCAAAUGAUUGAAAUUCAUGAACAUCUAGGAUCCCAUGAAGGUCACUGGACCCUGUUUUUUCUACUUCAAAUCCUGUAGUAGCCUACUGAAUGAGAAAACAUAUUCUGACCCAUUGGGAUCAAAUCAAAGGCACAGUGAACUCCUCAUAGCAUCUUCUUUGGAAUUACUCAGGAACCAGAACUUUUUACACAAAUAUAAGAAAUUCUACCAAGGAGUCCCCUUACCUAAGCAUCUCACAAGGCUGCAUCAGAUUCCAGAAAAGGCUUCUCUUGAUACAUCAAGGUAGAACCUCUAUGGUAAAUCCCUUCUGUUUAUAAUGCACUUUACGGUUUCAAAGCACUUGUACAUACAUUUAUCUCAAUUGUCAAAAUAAGAGUGAAUUAUAAUCCCUUUUUGCAAAUGAGGGAAUGUAAAUUUUAAAACUUAAGCAGUUAUCCAAAGUGACACAGCUGUGAAAGUGGUACAGGCCAGGUUUUCUGACUCCCAGUCCAGUAUUCUCCUUGGAAUUACCCACAGUGUUAAAAUGACUGGGUAUUGGGAACCUCAGGAAAUUUUCCAGCUUCCUGAUCUGGUGCCUGUAGUCACAUAGGAUGUCUUAAGUGUGAUCACAUGAUAGCUACAUCUAAGACCAGAAUCCCAUGGCAAUAUCCCACAGUUUAAGGGCAUUUAAGACAUUAAUACUCCUGGGCCCUAAAAGCUUAUCUAUGGUCCUAUCGCUGCAAACUAGUAUUUAUACAAAAUGAACCACCUGGUUUUUUUAAAGGUAGUAUUGUUUGUGUGUGUGUGUGUAUAAAUACGACAUAGAGAAAGGUGUUACCUAGUAAGAUAGUAAAGUAUGUAAGACAUGUCCCUGCCCCCAGUCUACAUUGAGGUAUAGUGUAUUAAAGGAUCUUAGGAGACUCGCAGCAAAUUACUACUGCUUCCGUGCUUAAAUUCAGAAGUCUAAUAAAAGACUUGUAGCAGAGUUCCAUUUUGCUGUUUAACCCAUUGUGUCCUAAGUUUAAUCAAACACAAAAGGGUAUUUUUUGCAUCAUUCCAUCUAAUGGAAUGCAGAAACUGCUUUAGAGCAGUAUAGCCAGUGCUUCCUGAUUGCCAACAGAUUGCCCUGGACACCCCAGAAUAAACAGCAUCUUCAAAAUCCCCCUUUCUCAUACCUUGUUAUUAACUGCUUGAAUUAGUAUGUCUCUGUCAUCUGAGAGUUGCAUCUUGACAAUUACCUUUAUUUCCUGUCAAAAGAAUGUCUAGAAGAUGUGUGGGGAGACAUAGGAAAGGAAUGGAGGAAAGUUAAUUCACCCCAAAUUGGAUAAAUUCCGUGACAUUUAGCAAUAUACUUCUGUGUCCCUAGAAUUGUACCACAACUUUAGUUCAAGGGCAUUGCAUCUCAGGUGGGUUAAGGAGGUUGGGAAGGGGAGAAAAGGGUUAAGGAGAUAUUUUCUUCAGAUUUAUCAAUGUCUAAGAAGUCAUCCAGCCAUGGACUUCUUGGAGUAAUACUUACAAAGAAUUGGAUGCAUUUUGCAACCUCGGGCAAAAACCCCAGUGCUGUUGCAACUGAAAAUCAUUAGCCUUGUUCUCUGAUAGUUACAAGCCCAGUUGCAGGCAAUCAAAAUUUAUAGCCAAUAAGCUCUAACUCCAACCUGUAAUGUGGUCCAUAUUAGGGAAAGAAUAGGAAAACACCUUGGUUUACCACAGGCUUUGCUUACAGUUUCUGCUUUCUGUGACCUAUUUUUUGUAUUUCAGCAUUUUGUGACCGACUUAUUCUUAGAUCAUUGGUUUUCCAAAGGCUUUGUGGCCAUGAAGCCCUUUGAGUGAAAACUGCAGAAGCUCAGAGUAAAAGUGAAGCUGCUCUGGAUGAAGCAGUGAAGCAAGAGUAGGGGCCUGAAGCCUGCUACAACUGUCUAUCUUCCUUUACCACCGUGGUGACACCUAAGGGGACUUCCUUACAACACCUUGAACUCUCCAGAACACAGUUUGAAAACCACUGCCCCAGACAGCAAUAUGUUUGACCUGAAUGGCAUUCCAAUAUUUUCUGUACCUCCACUCAGCACAGUUCAUGUUCAGUUGAUGCUGAACAUUCUUAGAAAUACUGUGUGUGAAUUUAGAAAAGUACAAGAAGACAGGCAUGUCUUUGACCCCAGGAAUGAUCAUGGGCUGAAAGUGGUGUCAAGUGAACCUAGAUUAACAGCCCUCCACUCCAGAUGGAUAUCCAGUGAUUCCUAGAAUGGGAUAUAGCCAGAGAACAAUUCUAUGCACCCUACACUGACAGACUCCCUUAAGCAACUUCUUUCACAAACACCAGAUGCUCUACUGGUACUUGAAGUACAUGACUUUGAAGUCUUGACCCUCCAUGGAUGUCUGAAUUGCCAGCAAGGGGGUUUUGAAGCUGGUGCCUCAGUGAGGGCAUAUUAGAGCAACUUGUACAUUUGACCUCUUGUUAUCAGCCAUGGUACUCUACUUCGUGUACAAGAGAUAACUAUGAAAGCCGAAUUCAAAUACUGGCAACAUUUCCUAAAGGGGCUCAAUAUGUAUCAUCUUCUUUUCCAAACUACACAUCACUGUAUGACUCAACCAGUAGCAGUUAUACUGCCCCUUGGUUUUUAUUCAUUUUAACUACUGUUUCCAAGAUAAAUGAGCUAAUAACAACAACAAAAAAAGCAAUUAUUUUUUCUUCAUCACUGGCAUAUCUGCCUAUUCUCCAGAAUAAUUAUGACUACUCAGCUCACUUUAACAGUUGAUCUUCAAGAGACAAUCUUUGAACACCCCUUCUCAUGUGAUUUAAAAUGAAACCAUUUGGAAAAGUUUCUUCUGGCCAAUAAUAGAUUUUUUUUUUAAUUGCUCUGCCUUGUGCCGAGAGAUGUUCUUUUAAGAUGAAUCUUUUGAUGUCUGAUACCACCAACUGUAGGUGGUAGGGAUAGUUGGAGGCUGGCCCUUUGAGCAGGCCAUGAUAGCUUACUUGCUGGGCAUUUCAGAUAGCUUAUUGCCUACCCUUUUGCUGGAAACAGACUGAUUUGAAAAACAAAAUCUAUGAAGACUGCAGCUAAGGAUUUUAUCAGUAGACUUAAGAGCUUUUUCCUUGUGGAUAUUUUAGUGGAACCACAACAGUCUUAAUACUAUCAUUUUACACUGACUCAGAGCAGCUGACUUCAUUCCUUGCCAUGAUAUAUAUUUAAGGCAGGCAUUGUAACAGACAUUAAGACAACUUAACUGUUUCAGCAGGAAGGAUUCAGUUUAUGGACUCUCAGACCGGAUCAUGUUGAACAAGGAGAUUUUGAUAAUGUGUCAUGAGAAAACUCAUCCUUUACUUCUCAAUUUAAAGGCCAGCUAUCCUGAGCUACUCGAAUGAAUGCACUGGUUAAACAUUGGGGAUAGUUUAUAUCCUCUCUCUCUAAGCCAAUUGUGAUUACAUGACUCCACUCUAUAUCUUGUCAAACAAGGCCUAAGUCUGGUUGCUGUAGACUGCUCACCCUCAACAAAUAAAAAUAAAAUCUGGAUGACUAGCCUGCUUAUAUAUACAACUAUUAUUUGUUAAGAAGAAAUUAUCUUCCAUUUUCUACUACCUUCAAAUUGUCAGCUUUUUUCCUCUCUGAUUUUUCCUAUAUUUUACAGAAAAAGACAUUGAUCUAUACUGCCAAUCCCUCAGUCCUGCCAACUCAUUCAAAAUGGAUGACUUAAGAUGAAGAUGAUCAUCUGCUCAAGAGUCUAAAAUAUACAUUGUAUGUAAGAAUUGGUGAUUAGAAAAGCAAAAAACCUAACACUUAAACCUAGGAGUUUGCCUACUAUCUCCAUGUCUCCAUGCUUCAGAUCUCAUCUAAAUCUUUGAACAGCACCAUUCAACCAAUCUGAGGCCUUGACUUGCUUGUAAGAUGAUUCUCAGAGAUCGGCUGAGUUAAAAAAGGUGACGACUUGAUUACCAAAGAAAGUAGGGCCAACUUUGACAAACCUGGCUCUGCUGACCCUGUCAUUCCCAGAUGUAGCAUAGACUCCUAAACAGAACCUCAAGUCUGAUUGAGGAUAAGGCCUUCUCCUGAGCUGAAAGUUCUUUGGCAGAUGAGCAACAAACUGAAAGCUGAUGUACCUGACUGGCUCUAUAAGAUCAGAAAACUGUAUCCAGAAUAAGCCCUAUGGAUUAACUCCUGAGUCCCCAGGGUAAAAACUAAUUUACAGAGCUUCCUUAUUGAUCUGCCUGUUCUUCCAGAUCAUAUUCUGGCUAUUGGUAUGGCUGGCCCUUCUGAAGCUGCCCUGCUUGUCUGUUUUCUUGACUCAGCUCUUGCCUGCCUUUUUCACAUGUUGCUGCAGUUAGACUCACUGACCUUGAGAAGACUACAGCCAAUUUUAGUCUAUCUUGUGCCCAAUACAACAAAGAUUUUUAAUAGAAACAACCCACACCUCACCUGCUAGCACUCAGUGUUCACGACAGGAAGGACCAUGUUGUAUACUACUUGACCAGCAGCUUUUUUAAAGAUAUUUUUAAGUGCAGAGUUAGCCUCUAUUCCUGUAUGUAUUUGAUCAUUUUCAGCACCUGGAACCUCAUCUAUCAGGUCUGGAAGGAAUACAGCAGAUCGAAAGCUGUGUCCAUUUCUCUCCAGUAGUACAGAAAUGAGUCCGAUUCACCAGUGCACACAGAACUGUACCAGCCUGGCAAAAGAAGAACAGUUUCCACUGUACUUAAAAUUUACCACCGACUCAAAUUGCCUCACAGAAUUAUUUGAUGUAGGAGGCUAGUUGUCUUGCUUCACAUCAGCAGGACAGUUGGACUCUCAGACUCAUGACCACUGAGUUUGCUUGUAUUAAAACUGUGGUUUCUUCCGAAGUAUGCUAUUGGACUUGAUUAUUAUCCCAUUCAAAUGGAUUACAGACUUAUUGAGGACAGGACAAACUUAUCUCUCAUGGUGUUUUUUUUAGAAUACUUUUAUAACCAAGGAAGAAACCAUGCCAGCUGUUACCAUUCAACUUCUUAAGCAGAGAUUAAGCUUUUUCAUAUGUGUUCUUAUCCUGGACAUUUUCAUAUCUGUUCUUAUCCUGGACAUUAGUAGUUUUUAAUUGCCCAGCAUCCAUUCCAUCUCAUUGUAACAACUCCCUGAUGUUUCUUAAAUCCACCUCUUCCUAUUUUCAGUCUGUGGUUUGGACAGUCUGACCCAACCUUGAGCUUUGUGGGUGGACGUGUAAUUCAGACCUCAUCAAUCAGCAAAUCCAUCUGAACUGUGGAGGAGAAGCUCUCUUUACUGAGGUGCUUUAGCUUUGUAGGAUGAAAACCUCAAACCAACAGGGCCUGCCAUGUAGAGAAUAAAGCCAGUGCAGGGGAAAGUAGAGCCAAAAUAUGGAGAGACUUGAAUCCUGAUGACAACGUUUGUGCCCCUGGAUCCAACUGUGCCUGAAGCUAGUAUAUCCCCUGGACUUUUCAGUUAUGUGAACCAAUAAAUACCCUUUUUUGCUUAAGUUACUUUUGAGUUGGGUUUCUAUUACUUGAAAUUGAAUCCAGACUGAUAACAUCUACCAACUUUGAAACUUGACAGAUCCAAGUAUUUAUUAAACUAGAGGUCAUGGUCACUGAAAUUACUUUCCAAAGUGGAAGACAAAAUGAAACAGGAACUGAGAGAAUAUUUAAGAUACCACAGAAGCAUAAAAAUGACAUAGUAGAAAGUAAUAGAAAACCUAAAUGUCUGUCGUUAAAGGAUAGGUUAAGGUAUGGUUCAGCCAUAUAGGAAAAUCUUGUAUCUAUUAAAAUGAAUAAAGUACAUUCAUUGUGUAUGGAAAAAUGGCCAUGAUACAUUAGGUGAAACAAGCUACUGAUAGAAAAGUGUACAGUGUGAAAUCAUUUUAAAAUGUGUGUGCUCAUGUUUAUAAAUGCAUAAAAAAGUCUAUUCACAGCUUUCUUUGAACAGUGUAGAUUACAUGACACUUUCAACUUUAUACAUUUCUGUAUCAAUAUUUUACACUACCCACAUUACUUUUAAACUUUAUUUUAAAUAAAGAAUUUUUUAAAUUAAA